UUUGGACUCGAGUAAAGACAUUUCAUAGAAAAACUGAAAUAUUUUUAUUUGUUUAUUUUUUAAUCUUGAUAACCUGCAAUAGUUUACAGCCAGAAUGGCAGCUUUUAUGUAUGUACACUCAUUUAAAUACAGUUUCAUACCGUAAAUAGCCAUGGGGCAAAAUAUCUGCCUCUAGGCACAAAAAAAAAAAAUCUUUGCCGCUAAAUAAACACCUUUAAGUGAUACUGCAAAGAAUAGAUAUGAGGUAAUUUUUUACCUAAAUGACUCUGGCCUGUAUUAAGACAUAUUCACUGUAACAAUUCAAGUUUUAAAAUCCUUGUUUUGUAACUCAAAAAUAUAUCUUUUUUACAAAACACAUCUUUACAUUUAUUGCUAUUGUACAUUUAUUUGGCAGGAAACAGGGAUGUUUGAUGUCUUGCAAUGAUAAAGCGAUCGUAUUCAAUAGAAAAUUGUCUCACAUUCUGCAAGACUUUUGAACAUUCUAUAAGACAAUUACAUAAGUGAAAAACAAAUUUGUAGAUAUUUGAGUACAACCAUUUAAUAUAUGAAUAAAAGCAGUUCAGAACAUUUUAAUGUACACUGCAUUUUCUGAUAGUAAGAUUUUAGGUUAAAAUAAGAUUAUACUUCAAAAAGUGUACCAUUUUGAAAAAAAAAUCAUAUCACUGCUGGCAAUGCCAUUUUCAUACUAGUCCAACAUAUUGCUUAUCCAUCUGUGUUUGUUUGAUUUUACUGUUAUUACUUUAUGAUAAUGCUAAAGUACAUACAUACACACACACACACACACCUAAGGUGUGCAGGCUUUCAUCCAAGCUUACUGGUAUUAAUUAAAAAUCAACCAGAGGUAGGGAAAAAUAAAACUUAUUCAAAAAUACUAUUGCAAUAGGGAGAAUAUUCCAAACUCAAUCUACAGGUGUCUCAGGAUCAAACAGGAAAAGGCUUUCCUUUUCUAGGGAAGGACAAGCAGGGCUGGCAGAAGCCUCCUUGGAGAGAAGAACAGGCAGUGGGGUGAGCAGGUGGCAAAACCAGGAUGCUCCAAUAAAAAUAGUUUCUCUGGGAGUCCCGCUCAUUUUUGGAGUGAGCUGUUAGCGGGCUGGUCUGUCCUUUAGUGCUUGUUCAGUCUUAGGUGGUGAGCCAAGGUCCAGGGGCCUGAGGAGAGGAGACAAGACUGUCUGAAGUUUGAUAAAAUCAAGUCAAUGGGUAGUUAUGAGUAAUUGUGAGCAAUUGGUCAGCUUUGGGCUCAGCACACACCCCACCUUAUGUUGUUUACCACAAACAAAACUUGUCCCUAAAAAUUUUUAGGAAUGGCAUCAGAUAUAGCGAAGGUUUGCAAACUGAUUUUCAGGGUUGGGCUGGUCUUCAUGUGUUUGUUAACCUUGAGGACUAGGUAUAUCAUUUGUUAAGUGUGUUAUUGGACUGACAGCUGC
rnacentral:lncRNA from 1 species